rnacentral:rRNA from 1 species
AAAUUGAAGAGUUUGAUCAUGGCUCAGAUUGAACGCUGGCGGCAGGCCUAACACAUGCAAGUCGAACGGUAACAGGGA